rnacentral:rRNA from 1 species
UGCAAUCGAACUGUGACGUCUUAGCCUCGUCUCCCCUCCCCUUAGCCUUACCCCGAGAGCGGCAGCGGCAGGAGCGGCCUCCCCUCCACCCUGCUGGAAGGGCUGCUGUAUCGGUAGCGGCAGCGCAGGGCGGAGGUCCUCCGGCUGCACACGCGAGAGCCGCCCACGAGGGCCAGGACCGCGGCGCGGACGCUGCGGUUGAAGCACACCCUCCCGGAGAAGGCGGCGGCGACCGGCCGGUGGCGCCGGCGAUACCGCCGGCCUCCCCGUCCCCGAAGGGCACGCGUCCCUACCUUUCGAGAGAUGUAGUUGUUGGUACCUUCUUGAAGACACCGAUAGAGAUCUCACCAACUUAAACACCUCUCGUCGUGCGUAUUGCCAAGCGAACUUCGACUUACAAUAAACUUUCGAUACAGACUAAACCGUAACUACUUCCUAUAUCCGAAGCAGUUACAGGUCAAAAAGAACGAAAGUUCUUUAGCGUCACGCUAUUAUUUAGAAUAACCUAACGUAAUGAGGUAACGUAUAAACGUAUAUGACCACUCAAUACUAAGGACUACAAGAACAACUCGAGAAGAAUACUAUGUACGAGAGACACUGGGUUAUUCAAAUAUGAUGAAAAAAAAAAAACGAUAUCUUUCAACAACCUUGGUAAAAAGUGACAACAAGAACUUUAUGGUAAUGGAUAAUGGACCAUAUCUCUCGAUAUAGUAAGUCUACAUUUGUUUGAAAUAAUCAGGGGAGCUUAGAAACUAGAGUAGAAAGGAGGUUUUAAGUGGUAACAAUCCAAGUCGCACAGUGUGAGACAACGUGACUCCAGUUCGAAGUAAUACAGAAAAAGGAGUUUGUUCCAGUUCAAAACAAGACCUUCGAAUACAAUCGAACUUCGUGAAGUCCACAAAUUAUCGUCUGAUACGUGUGGCAUUCCUGUUUACCCAUCAGGGAAACGUGUCCGUACGGUACAAACCAGUACAUAUUUGCAUGAUACUGUAUGGAGUUCUCUUGUGAAAUGAUGAAGUCUAUUAUAUACUAACCAUUGUAGUCUUUCGAAACCUGUUAUAUUAACAGUUCGGAACACUUCAAAAUAAAACGAAGUGUUGUAUACAAGAACGAACUCAUUAGACUGGUUCAAACCUAUAUACGAGGAUUUUACGCCUAAACUGUACGUUAAUAAGAACGUCGGGUUACUCCACCUAUUUCGUGAAGUUCGGACGGUCCAUCGUCUUUCCUUCCACACACACUCGAACGAGUUCGAACCAGCUACCAAGAUACCAAAAUCCAACGGACUACUGAUACUCAGCAUGUUUUUGAGUGACUCAACCGAGUGGUCGCUGCUGCCCCGUUUUCAAGAUCAGUAAGAGUUGGCACCACGACAGGUACUCCAUAAAGCAGAGGUCCAGUCAAACCACCCAUGUUUAUUGACUUGAAUAUCCUACGUUUGUAGACAUGAACCGAAACGACCUGGAAAACAUUUAUAUACGGUUAGGAAAACAUAGAACUACGGGAGCACCGUGACGAAACUACAUUUACCUUCAUACCUUGUUAUCUCUACCCCUUUAUGGUUUGUGACAACAACAUAUCAGGUUAUGUUUAUUAUUUGAGCGGUACUGAACACUGAACCACAUAUUUGUGCAACCACUGUUUAAC